rnacentral:misc_RNA from 1 species
AAGUCGUAACAAGGUUUCCGUAGGUGAACCUGCGGAAGGAUCAUUAUCGUGGGGCUUCGGCCCCGUCGAGAUAGCACCCUUGCCUUUAUGAGUACCUUGGUUCCCUCCCCCGUACCUUCGGGGAGCGGGAGGGACCUCGUCCGUUUCCCUGUGGCGGCGAAAGCCCCUGGGGACCGCAAAACACGCUGUAACCACCUGCAACCGUCUGAUAAACAAACAAAAAAAAUCAAAACUUUCAACAACGGAUCUCUUGGUUCUG